GAUGAGGGGCCCCGACAAUGGGGAGCUGUGAACCUGGUCAGGGGCGAAAGUCAGCAGCCAUAAGCGGCGUAACCAUGUGUCGUGGGUCCCUCAUCGGG
rnacentral:SRP_RNA from 1 species